AACGAACGCUGGCGGCAUGCCUAACACAUGCAAGUCGGACGAUAAGCCACCUUCGGGUGGUGGACAGUGGCGCACGGGUGAGUAACACGUGGGGACCUGCCUGAUAGUAAGGAAAAACAGUUGGAAACGACUGCUAAUACCUCAUAAUGUCUACGGACCAAAGGGGGCUUCGGCUCUCGCCUUUAGAUUGGCCCAAGUGGGAUUAGCUAGUUGGUGAGGUAAUGGCUCACCAAGGCGACGAUCCCUAGCUGGUUUGAGAGGAUGAUCAGCCACACUGGGACUGGGACACGGCCCAG
rnacentral:rRNA from 1 species